GCCUGAAGAGAACAGAAGGCUGAACCUCCUGUGAGUAAAAGUCCUCCUGCCUGGAUGCUUUCAAACUGGGACAUCAGCUUUUUUUCCUGCCUUCAGACUCGAACUGAAGGAUCCACUCCACUCUUCCUGGGUCUCCAGCUUGCAGACUCCCUCUGCAGAUCUUGGGACCUGCCCACCUUUAUAAUUACGUGAACCAAUUCCUUAUAAUGAAUCGCUUUAUUUGCACACACACACGUCCUAUUGGUUGUUUCCCUGGAGAGCCGUGACUUGUACACACCCUGUUCUUAUUCUGUCACAAUGCCUGUUACAACAUCUCAGCACUGGCCAUUUAACUGCAUCUCCUACUGAGCUGGAAGCUCUGGUGGAUAGGGGCAGGUCUGCUCAUUCACUGCUGCCUUCCCUGCACCUGGUACCAUGCACACAGAAUAAGCCUAGCAGAAUGCCUGUGGAUGGACUGACCAAUGAAAGUAAUGAGGUGCUGGGACCCGAAGGCUGAGUGGCAUGAGUCAUGAGGAGGCAUAGGUGGAGUUGGAGGUGGGAGGAGGAUGAUGUAGCAAAGGUAUUUAUAUCAGCCAGAGUCCCAGCAGGAAGAUGGCAUCUUCCACAAGAUAAGUGGGCCAAGUUUAAAGAUGAGAUGAUCUACACAGGCAACUCUAUAGAUCACUGGGGACUCAUCCUGCAGAUAUCAUUCAAGGUAUCCGGUUCAGAAUCUAUCACCAGCUCAGACUGUAGCCUCUGAAGAGAUCUCAGAUGUUUUGUGCCUUAUACAUUUAAUUCUGAGAUCAUAGAGCCCAAGGAGGUUUUGAGGACCCUCUACCCACACCUUCAGAUGUUUUCAGAGGAUUUGCUGGCAGGGCUGGGCCACUGGGCCUUGCUGGGCUCUAAUUUUCCUACCCACGUGUGUCCUAUAGACCGUGAAUUUUCUUCUAAACACUCUUGACUUUUCACUUGUUAAAUUAAAGCAUUUUCUUAA
rnacentral:lncRNA from 1 species